AUGGACACCGACCUCGACCUGGACGCCCUCCUCGCCUCCUUCGCCGGCGAGUCCGCCGCAGUCUCCGAGCUCCUCGCCCCGCCUCCGCUCGAUGCGGCGGAGGCGGGGUCGCCGGAGUCGGUGACCUCCCGGUCCAGCCACGCCGGCGAGGAGGUGCUGUCGGAGAUCGAGAGGUUUCUGAUGCAGGAGGACGAGGCGGCGGGGGCGGAGCCGGUGGACGGGAUCAGCGUGGAUGAGUUCUUCGACGCGCUGUUCGAUGGUGGGGAGGAGGGGGGCGAGAAGGGGAACGGGAGUGAGGCUGAGGCUGGGGGCAGCACCGAUGGGGACUCUAGGAGGGAGGAAGAAGGGGUGGAGGUGGUGACGCCGGAGACAGAGGCGGAGGUGGUGACGCCCGAAACGGAGGUCGAUGGCGAUGAUCCCAUCAGCAAGAAGAAGAGGAGGCAAAUGAGGAAUAGGGAUUCUGCCAUGAAAUCAAGGGAGAGGAAGAAGUCAUAUGUGAAGGACUUGGAGACGAAGAGCAAGUAUCUUGAGGCGGAGUGUCGCCGCCUCAGCUACGCACUUCAGUGCUGCGCAGCUGAGAACAUGGCACUGCGCCAGAACAUGUUGAAGGAUAGGCCUAUUGGUGCUCACACAGCCAUGCAGGAGUCUGCCGUACUUUCGGAAACCCUGCCGCUGGUUUCCCUGCUUUGGCUAGUGAGCAUCGUGUGCCUAUUCCUAACGCCCGGUCUACCCAACCGAAGCCUGGCGGCUCCAAGGAGAGCCGAAAGAGGUCUCGCAAUGGUAGCCGGAAAGCCAAGCAGUGAUCAACCAGAGACCUUGGAGCUUCUACCCCAUGGAAGGCGCUGGAGGGGCACAAGGGAGAGGAUCAAGCUAGAUGCUCCGCCAUUGCGUGCAGCUGCCGCUUGCUAG
rnacentral:rRNA from 1 species